rnacentral:tRNA from 1 species
AAAGGUUUAAGUUAACAAAAACUAAUAGCCUUCAAAGCUUUAAUUGGCAAAAAUCCAACCUUU